UAUAAAUCCUUUGCUAAAUAGAUUUUUUUUUAAUGCAGUUGCGAAGAUGGUUGCAAACAAAUUCACUGUUGAUUUGAAUAAACCUCUUGUCUUCCAGGGUAGUUACUGAGCUCCAAAAUAUCUAUUUCUUUCUCUUUUUUGGUCAGACCGAAUUAAGCAGGCCAAAGUGUGUAAAGGGUUUUGGUUUGGGGAAACAUUUAAGUUUGGGUUUGGAGAUACGUAGUUAUUAGUAUUAGUUGGUAGAUAACAUUGUGCCAGUGCAGGUUGCAGUUUUUUGCCAAGGUGCGCUAUCCUUUUUAAUACUUGGUAGAGACUAGAAUUAAUGGUUGUUUUUCAUUCCUGUUUUCUUUAGUCUUUAACCACUAUCACAUAAGGAGCUUGAUAUUGAAAAACAAAAGCAUGAUGCUUGGUGAUAUGAAUGUAUUUAAUUUUAAUAUUUUGAAAUUCUAUGAACUUUUUAUAUGAAA